GGAGGGUUGACCGAGCGGUCGAAGGUGGCGGUCUUGAAAACCGUUGAGGCGCAAGCUUCCGUGAGUUCGAAUCUCACACCCUCCG
rfam:Dethiosulfovibrio salsuginis strain TSBA 82 genome assembly, contig: Ga0105850_124